rfam:Dipodomys ordii contig_63857, whole genome shotgun sequence.
GGUGACUCAGUGGUAGAGUGCUUGCCUUGCAUGCAUGAGACCCUGGGUUCGAUUCCUCAGCACCA